rnacentral:rRNA from 1 species
AGGGCGAACGCUGGCGGCAGGCUUAACACAUGCAAGUCGAGCGGGCGUAGCAAUACGUCAGCGGCAGACGGGUGAGUAACGCGUGGGAACGUACCUUUUGGUUCGGAACAACACAGGGAAACUUGUGCUAAUACCGGAUAAGCCCUUACGGGGAAAGAUUUAUCGCCAAAAGAUCGGCCCGCGUCUGAUUAGCUAGUUGGUGAGGUAACGGCUCACCAAGGCGACGAUCAGUAGCUGGUCUGAGAGGAUGAUCAGCCACAUUGGGACUGAGACACGGCCCAAACUCCUACGGGAGGCAGCAGUGGGGAAUAUUGGACAAUGGGCGCAAGCCUGAUCCAGCCAUGCCGCGUGAGUGAUGAAGGCCCUAGGGUUGUAAAGCUCUUUGUGCGGGAAGAUAAUGACGGUACCGCAAGAAUAAGCCCGGCUAACUUCGCGCCAGCAGCCGC